rnacentral:rRNA from 1 species
GAUGAACGCUGGCGGCGUGCCUAAUACAUGCAAGUCGAGCGAACAGACGAGGAGCUUGCUCCUCUGACGUUAGCGGCGGACGGGUGAGUAACACGUGGAUAACCUACCUAUAAGACUGGGAUAACUUCGGGAAACCGGAGCUAAUACCGGAUAAUAUAUUGAACCGCAUGGUUCAAUAGUGAAAGACGGUUUUGCUGUCACUUAUAGAUGGAUCCGCGCCGCAUUAGCUAGUUGGUAAGGUAACGGCUUACCAAGGCAACGAUGCGUAGCCGACCUGAGAGGGUGAUCGGCCACACUGGAACUGAGACACGGUCCAGACUCCUACGUGAGGCAGCAGUAGGGAAUCUUCCGCAAUGGGCGAAAGCCUGACGGAGCAACGCCGCGUGAGUGAUGAAGGUCUUCGGAUCGUAAAACUCUGUUAUUAGGGAAGAACAAAUGUGUAAGUAACUAUGCACGUCUUGACGGUACCUAAUCAGAAAGCCACGGCUAACUACGU